rnacentral:rRNA from 1 species
GACGAACGCUGGCGGCGUGCUUAACACAUGCAAGUCGAACGGAAAGGCACUGCUUUUGUGCGGCGCACGAGUGGCGAACGGGUGAGUAACACGUGAGUAACCUGCCCCUGACUUUGGGAUAACUUCAGGAAACUGGGGCUAAUACCGGAUAGGAGCUCCUGCUGCAUGUUGUGCGUUGGAAAAUUACGGCGGUUGGGGAUGGACUCGCGGCUUAUCAGCUUGUUGGUGGGGUAGUGGCUUACCAAGGCUUCGACGGGUAGCCGGCCUGAGAGGGUGACCGGCCACAUUGGGACUGAGAUACGGCCCAGACUCCUACGGGAGGCAGCAGUGGGGAAUAUUGCACAAUGGGCGGAAGCCUGAUGCAGCAACGCCGCGUGCGGGAUGACGGCCUUCGGGUUGUAAACCGCUUUCGCCUGUGACGAAGCGUGAGUGACGGUAAUGGGUAAAAAAGCACCGGCUAACUACGUG